GAUGAACGCUGGCGGCGUGCUUAACACAUGCAAGUCGAACGAUGAAGCCCAGCUUGCUGGGUGGAUUAGUGGCGAACGGGUGAGUAACACGUGAGUAACCUGCCCUUAACUCUGGGAUAAGCCUGGGAAACUGGGUCUAAUACCGGAUAGGAGCGUCCACCGCAUGGUGGGGGUUGGAAAGAUUUAUCGGUUUUGAAUGGACUCGCGGCCUAUCAGCUUGUUGGUGAGGUAAUGGCUCACCAAGGCGACGACGGGUAGCCGGCCUGAGAGGGUGACCGGCCACACUGGGGCUGAGACACGGCCCAGACUCCUACGGGAGGCAGCAGUGGGGAAUAUUGCACAAUGGGCGAAAGCCUGAUGCAGCGACGCCGCGUGAGGGAUGACGGCCUUCGGGUUGUAAACCUCUUUCAGUAGGGAAGAAGCGAAAGUGACGGUACCUGCAGAAGAAGCACCGGCUAACUACGUGCCAGCCGCCGCAGUAA
rnacentral:rRNA from 1 species